rnacentral:rRNA from 1 species
UACGGGGGGGGCAAGCGUUGUUCGGAAUUACUGGGCGUAAAGGGCUCGUAGGUGGCCAACUAAGUCAGACGUGAAAUCCCUCGGCUUAACCGGGGAACUGCGUCUGAUACUGGAUGGCUUGAGUUUGGGAGAGGGACGCGGAAUUCCAGGUGUAGCGGUGAAAUGCGUAGAUAUCGUGAGGAAGACCAGUGGCGAAGGCGGGUCUCUGGACAGUUCCUGACGCUGAGGAGCGAAAGCAUGGGGAGCGAACAGG